GACGAACGCUGGCGGCGUGCCUAAUACAUGCAAGUAGAACGCUGAAGAGAGGAGCUUGCUCUUCUUGGAUGAGUUGCGAACGGGUGAGUAACGCGUAGGUAACCUGCCUUGUAGCGGGGAUAACUAUUGGAAACGAUAGCUAAUACCGCAUAACAAUGGAUGACACAUGUCAUUUAUUUGAAAGGGGCAAUUGCUCCACUACAAGAUGGACCUGCGUUGUAUUAGCUAGUAGGUGAGGUAAUGGCUCACCUAGGCGACGAUACAUAGCCGACCUGAGAGGGUGAUCGGCCACACUGGGACUGAGACACGGCCCAGACUCCUACGGGAGGCAGCAGUAGGGAAUCUUCGGCAAUGGGGGCAACCCUGACCGAGCAACGCCGCGUGAGUGAAGAAGGUUUUCGGACCGUAAAGCUCUGUUGUAAGUCAAGAACGGGUGUGAGAGUGGAAAGUUCACACUGUGACGGUAGCUUACCAGAAAGGGACGGCUAACUACGUG
rnacentral:rRNA from 1 species